UAAAAAAAAAAAAAAAAAGAAAAAGAAAAAAAAAUCAAAAGAACAUUUCGUGUUGCAUGAAGAUUCUAUGAAAUUCAAAUUUCAAAGCCCAUAAAUAGCUUCGUUGGGGCGCAGCCACACUUGUUUGUUUACGUAUGGUCUGUGGCUGCCUUCACCAUGGAUAAGAGACUAGAAUAGCUGCUGCGGUCUGUAUUUUCUAUCUCUGUCUUUACAGAAAAUGCUUGAUGAGCUCUAAGUAAGGCCUGACCUUGUUCCUGAGGGUUCCAUAGUGGAGCUGAUGGGAAAGUAGUGGAUGGCAUUGGUGGUGGCUGAGCGAGCGGGGUGCCCUCUCAGAGAGCCGGUUCUUAAUGGAGUGCUAACCAGUCACUCUAGAUGAGAAAUACUCAGAUCACAUUUAAACACAAGGAAAGCUGUUUACAGGAAAAUGGUAAAAUAGCACAACGUAAAAUGAUGGUACACUGUGGUUACGCUGUCAUAAAAAUGUAUGCGUGUGGAUAGAGAAGAAGGUGUCCCACGUGGAGAAAUGAAAAGGUAUCUUAGGGGGCGGGUUGGGAGUAAGAGCAGUUUUUCUUUCUAUUCUAUUUUUCUGUUUAAAUUUUCCUGUGAUGUUCUUAUAAUAAGUGAUGAUGAUCACUCGCAGCCACCAGGGGAAGCAGCCACCCAGGCAGAAGGCCGUUCCGGGUCUCAGGCGGGCUUUAGGGAGAGGGACCCUGAGCUCUGGACCAGGGUUAGGAGGAGGUGCCCCGGGCAUGUGGAGGCUGGCGGCCCUCGCUCCUGUGAGCCGGCGGCUGGGGCUGCGUCUCGCCCAUGUUGCUGUCAUGUGCAGGGCCCAUGUGAGUUGCGUGUCUGCUCACUAUGUGCUGUAGCCUCUGGAAGUUGCUCAGGAGCUUGGGAUUUCGUGGAGAGGUGGGAGUCAGUUGCUUCUGUCCAAAGGGUUCGGCCAAUGGGGGCCAUUCUGAGUUCAGAAACCUCUGGUGUGGAACCCAAUGGAUCCAGCCAGGCCCAGCUCUGCUGUUAACCAGUUGUGUGCUCUGGGACUCGGGUUAAGUCUGCGGGUGGCAAAACUGGCACCUCCCAUCCCAUCUUCCCUCCAUCCCUCCCCCCCAGCCCUGUGUCUCACUCUGAGCUUCAGGAAGUUGGUGCCACCUAGCUACGCUCACUGACACGCAUCUCGUGCUGUGCUAGGAUGCUGUCCUGUCCCCAUGUUAGUGUGCCCUCUCCAGGGAGACUACCAGUGCUUGUGGGCGUGCAUCUUCUGCUUCUGCAUCCUCGGUCACUGUCAGCAGAGGCCUGGGCACAUGGUGGUGGACAGUAGCUAUUAUCUGUGGUUGUGCUGGAAUGGAGGAGGCCUGGUAUUUGGUCUUGGAGUCAAGAGUGCGUAGGCUUAAGAAUUCCAGGAUCACACGGAGGAGGGUGUGAUUAGGUCUGGGAAGGGGGGAGGCAGGAAGGAGGGCGAGAGACCUCGACCUGUUCUUGGGAAGGAAAGAGCAGGUGAGGGUGGGAUUCUGUUCCAAGCACGGGAAACAGCACCAGGAGGUGGUCAUGGCCCUGGGGCCAGGGCUGGGAGGCGGUUGCUCCAGCAUGCAGUGACUGAGCCCUCCUGUAUGCACUGCCGCAGGUGCUGGGAGACCGUGAAGUGCGAAGCAGAUGGAGUCCAGGCCCUCGGGGAGACAGCACGCCAGUGGGGGAGACGGAGACCAAUCACCCACCCAGUGUGCAGGGAUGAGAAGCUCGGGAAGGUCUGACCAGCCUUACAUCUUGAAAGGGAAACCCCUGCUCCUGCAUGUCAGCUGUUACUCGGGGUGCGCCAGUGGAAGCGAGAGGCAGUCGCAGCUUUCAGGGAAAAAAGAGGAAAAGCCAUGAGCAAUACCAAGGGAAACCGUAAGCUAAGGUUGGCAUAGUUCUCAGCAAGCCUCACAGCGAUUCUCUGUUCCCUUCCUCACCCCUUGCCUACCUUUAAUCCAAAAAUGAUUUUACCAGAAUGUCCAACAAAUAAGACAAGACCCAA